CCUACGGGUGGCAGCAGUGAGGAAUAUUGGUCAAUGGACGAGAGUCUGAACCAGCCUAGUAGCGUGAAGGAUGACUGCCCUAUGGGUUGUAAACUUCUUUUAUAUGGGAAUAAAAUGUUCCACGUGUGGGAUUUUGUAUGUACCAUUUGAAUAAGGAUCGGCUAACUACGUGCCAGCAGCCGCGGUAAUACGGAGGAUCCGGGCGUUAUCCGGAUUUAUUGGGUUUAAAGGGAGCGUAGGUGGAUUGUUAAGUCAGUUGUGAAAGUUUGCGGCUCAACCGUAAAAUUGCAGUUGAAACUGGCAGUCUUGAGUACAGUAGAGGUGGGCGGAAUUCGUGGUGUAUCGGUGAAAUGCUUAGAUAUCACGAAGAACUCCGAUUGCGAAGGCAGUUCACUGGACUGCAACUGACACUGAGGCUCGAAAGUGUGGGUAUCAAACAGGAUUAGAGACCCGGGUAGUC
rnacentral:rRNA from 1 species